UCCCUGGUGGUUCAGUGGCUAAGACUCUUGCUCCUGAUGCACAGGGCCUAGGUUCAAUUCCUGGUCAGGGAA
rnacentral:tRNA from 1 species